UACAGAGGUCUCAAGCGUUGUUCGGAUUCAUUGGGCGUAAAGAGCGCGUAGGCGGCCCGGUAAGUCCGCUGUAAAAGUCCAGGGCUCAACCCUGGAAAGCCGGUGGAUACUGUCGGGCUCGAGUCCGGAAGAGGCGAGUGGAAUUCCUGGUGUAGCGGUGGAAUGCGCAGAUAUCAGGAGGAACACCAAUGGCGAAGGCAGCUCGCUGGGACGGUACUGACGCUGAGGCGCGAAAGCGUGGGGAGCGAACAGG
rnacentral:rRNA from 1 species